GUAAAAAUAAGUUUCUACCGGUUUCUAUCAACAAAUUAGGAGUUUAUUAUGAAAGAACGGUACGUUUCGUUUUGUUCAAAGUAUUGUCUAUUACUUGUCGCUUUGUAUUUCCAUAUUUUCGGUCGGAUAUCACCUCGGCAGAAAUCUUCUUCUUCUUACGAGGCUAUCUACGAAUUUACCCGAUUUUCGGUAUCUUCAUACCACGGUGCCAAGCGUUGCUCAAACAGACCGUCCAUUAUCGAUCGGAACAAAAGAUAAUCGGAAGAAGCAAUGUCUGAUAAAUACCGCGGGCGGGGUAGGAUUUUCCAAUUACGUGUUUUUAAAUAGGUUUUGACGGGCACCGUGAUACAAUAGGAACAAAAUAUGCAGUUCGGUACCGAUUCGAAAUUUCACCUUUUUUUUUUUUUUCUAUAACGCCUUUUCAACACGCGCUUUUACUUUGUAACGUUAUCGAAACUCAUGCGGUUUUUUUUUUUAAAUUUAUAUGCAUUUUUGCAUUUAAACCGAUCAGUAGUUUGGAUAAGAAGUGGUAAC